UGACACGUGGCUGAGCUAGGGGGUCGCAUGUGGGUUCUGUAGCCUGCAAGACUGCCAUUCUAAUCCUCUGUGUCUGGGUUCCUUCCCACUUUGGACUCUGUCCAAACACAAUUAUGAAAUUGUAGGCACCCCAGGAGGAGAAAUCACAGGAUACUUUGCGAGCAAUAGCCAUCCAAGCUCUAAAAAGACUUGAAGGUCUAGCACCCUAUCAAGUGUCUCUCGGGUAGGCCCAGGACAGCUGUCUCUGCUAUUUGUCUAGAAGAGCCAUAGCUACCACUAGAUGGCAGUGUUUUAACGUCGGCAAGGGGAAGGGCGCCUGCUGCUAUUUUGAAUAGCCUAGGACUCACACUGUGAAAGGCUUCAUGAGGGCAGCCCCAUGGGACUCAGGUUCCAAGAACAAUGAAUUCAGAGCUCUGUUGUGACUUGAGGCUCCAGCAUGCAGCAGAAGACCAGGUUCUGGUCCUGUGAAAAGCGAAACCAUAGUCUUCAGUCACUGACUAUGAGACCCACCCGCCAUUCAGAAUCACAAGGCUCAGACUAGGACCCAGGCACCCCUGCUUUUUCUCCAGUGUGCUGAGUUCUCCAAGUCUUUGUCCAAUGAGGCCGGCUGCCCUGGGUGUAAGACCCUGAUGUGAAGCUGCACGCCGUGGUUCCUGUUGAUGGCAUGUGGUGGUUGCCGAGGAUGCAGACGCAAAUGAACCAUGAUCAAGAAGCCACAGAUCCAAGCUCUCCCACAAGGACUGAAGACGGAGUGUGAACAAGGAAUGUAGCACUUCUGGAGACAGGCACCUGUUCAUCUCAGAGGUGUGUCUGGAGGCUUGUCUUCUAGUGAUUCCAAAUUCGGACAAAUCAACACCACCAACCAUCAGAAAAUAUAAACACAAAGCUUGACUGUGUGAUUGGAAACUUUGAAGGACAAAGCCUCAAGUUUAAUUCCGCUGUCAGAAAAGCAGUCUGAAGGCAGUGAUGGGCACUUCAGUCUGUGUGACUUCUCUGUCAAAGUGAUUGACCAACAAUUCUGCCUUCGGAGGGUUUAGUCUGACCACAGGCCAUGAGAUGGUACCACCCACAUUCAUGGUAUGUCUUCCUUUCUCUGGUAAACUUUGGAAAUGCCUUCAGGAGACACACCCAGGGAAGUGCCUCCUAGGUGAUUCUAAAGCCAGUCUAAUGAAGAUUAACCAUCAUAAAAGGUCCCCAAGACAACAGUAAGGAGUACAAGUGAUCCAACUUAUAAGGAAGAUGAUAGCACUGGACGAACGAACCUGGGAAUAUGGCUGAAUGGCCAAGGUGUAUCUGAAGAAGUAAGGAGCCACAUCUCACCUCUGCUUGGUUGGGUUCUCGCAGAUGGAGACAUCACAGAAAACCAUAACUGGACACAGUGCAGAGGCCAACAGAUUGUGAAGAGCAAGCUGGGUGUUGGUGGUGCACGCCUUUAAUCCCAGCACUAGGGAAACAGAGGCAGAUCUCCCCCUUCUGCUGCAGGAUCCGCUGCAUCUUUCUGAUUUGUCUCCCUCCUGAUACAAAAGCCCUGGAACCCAGUUCAGUAUGAUUCAGCAGAAGUCUGGGCUGACUCAUUGGCCAGUACAUGUGCCUACAAAUCCGGUUUCACAGGCGAAUGAGAUCUGACUAGACUAACAAGAAUUCUACAACAAAUCAUUUUUUCCCAUUUUGUCUGGCGGUUCAGCCACUGCUCUUGUUAAGGCACAGCGGAGUUUGUUUCUUUGGCUACUUGCCUUGCCACAGACCCAUACCACUUAGUUGCCAAGCAGGGGUUCGCUGCCCCAGCACAUGGCAGAGCUAGGUGGUGGAAGAAUGGACUCUUGUGCUAGGUGGUGGAAGAAUGGACUCCACAGCUCCCUCAGGUGGUGGGACUGAGUGCUAGCAGGUGGGUCCCUGGAAGAAAGCCACCCCACACCCACCCCAGGCAGAUGCCAAUUCCAGAAUUGUUCCCCUUCCCAACCCUCAACUUAGUAGCCUUGAAUCAGCAGUGAGUAUAGGAGAAGGGCCCUGGAGGCUCGGAGUGUGACUGUGCCACUUAGUCACUGCCUGAUCUUUAACAAAUAAGCUGACUUUCCUCUUAGAAUUUCUCAGUCAUACAAUGAAGUCACACAGAAUAACCUUUCAGGUCUGGUCCAGCGUCAAUGAACUAUGGUAUGGUUUUGCUCCAGCUACACAGGAAGAAUGAAAUACAUUUCAGGCUCAUCAAUAUCAAGUCCCUGUCCCCUGUGGUCAAUAUUACUAAUGAGUGGCUUCAUUAAUCAUGAUCCAAUAGAGAAUUUCACCAGCAACACAGAUCUCCCCAAACUGGAAGCUAAUUCUCUUCUGUAGGAAGGAGCAAGAGUGAGAGAUGACAGGAAGGAGAGAAAGGAGGACACUUCACACUAGCAGUGACUCAAACUCUCCAGGGACUGAGUCUGUGAAUGUCAAGAAUUGCAAACAUGAGCUCUUCAUCCAAGUUUUUUUUUACCCUAAAUGCUUUCUGCUGAUUUCUAUAACCACCAAGAAGUAUCCUCUAGAGAGAAGUGUUUGUUUCUUGAAGCAUCACAGAGGAAGAUCAGCAUUUGACUCUGAGUUCCAGUGAGCUUUUUGGAGAAGCCAUUUUGAGUGGAGAUAAUGAAACUUCUUUUCUACUUUGGCUUGGAGGGGAUUUGUUUUUAUCAGCACACUUGUCCCUUCUAAGAACCUUGAGGUGCUGGGGACAUGGCUCGGUGGGGAAGAGCACUUCCAUGCAAGUUUCUUCCAUAUGGGGAACUGAGGUUGAGUCUUCAGUAAAUUUGUGAAAGAACCAGAAGGCAUGGUCAUGUGUGUUCAUAAUCCCAACAUUGGGGAACAGAGGCAAAAAGAUCCCAGGAACUUGCUGGCUGGCCAGUCAGCCUAGCCAAAAAGACAGACUUCCAGUUCAAUGAGAGACACUGUCUCAAGGCAUGUGGGUAAUGAGUGAUAGAGGAAGAUAGAUAUCCAGUGUCUUUCUCUAGUCUUCCCACAUGUACACACAGUCAUAGGUAUAUAUGUACACUGCAUAAACUCCCCCCACAAGAAAUCUUGACUUUCCUCUGAUGAAUUUUGACCAACACAAAUUUGAUCAAGAGUGGUCAUGUAUUAGUCUUUGUUAAUAAACAAUGGUGAGCACCCACCGUCAGCUGGGGAUAAAGGCAGCAUAGACUGGAGAUGAUUUAAACCUUGAAGCCUGAUAUUGCACAAUUAACAAUAAACGCAUUAUUACUUGAUGCAUUUGCUCAAACAAAAACCACAUGUGACUGGGAAUUUGAAAACUGAACAGACAUUGGCAAAUGUUUCCCAAAUAUAAUACACCAUCUUGACAGCUAAUGCAUCAGCAAUGUUUACUUCAGCAAAUGUUUCCAAUUUGGAGGAAGGGAAAAAUGGAGUGUCUAAUAAUAACCUCUUACAUCUGAAUACAGCCCAGUGCUUUGCAGUUUUAAAAGCACUUCCCAUGUAUACAUCCGCUCAGCUGAUCACUCAAACCACCCUGGGAGGUGGGUGGGAUGUAUAUUAUGUUAUUGCCCAACAAUUUGUAGCUCCCAGCUUGUCAUUCUGUCUUGUGUCUCAUCAUUUCACACAUGCUCUUUCUGAGCCCUGGAGUGCCCCAUUCUCCCUUCCCUGCCCCAUUUUUUCAUGUAGAUAAUUCCCAAUCAACUGUGAAAAAGCAAUGCAGAUGAUGCUACCUUUCAAAUAGCCAGGAAACUUCCAGUCUGGCAUAGAUGUUUCUCUUCUGUAUUUCCCCUCUGGCCGGUGCCACAUGGCAAGGGAAUGAGUUACUCUGAACCCCUCUCUCUGUUUGCUUUUCUGUCUGUCACUAUUCUACGCUCUAGCCUAAUAGCAUAGCUUCAUCUUAUUUAACAUCUUCAGUGCCCUCCAUUGUCCCUGUCACACAGUGAAGGCUCUUUAUGUUGAAAGAAUGAAGGCUCCUCAUCUGGAAGAAGCCAAACAGAUGCUUACAAAUUCGUAUGUCUUGUUCAAGGUUACACUGCUAGUGAGGGGUAAUGGUUGAGCUGUGUUUCUGGUUUUCUAGUCCAAUAGUCUUUGUACAGUUUAACACUACAUCUGUUCAGCUUAUUUCUAUCGAAAUACAUGAGAAGAUUAUGGGUAGAACGCAAUAGUGUUUUGUUGGUAUUUCUGUGGUUUAUAUAAGAAGCCAUUGGAAAUAUGCUAACUGCUUUUUUUUUUAGUUCUUUCUUCACUUAUUGUUUAGAUUUUUACCUGUUUUCUUUUAGGCAUGCAUGUGGGUGUACACAUGCCACAGUUUGUAUGUAGAGGACCCAGGAUAACUUGUGAGAAUCUGUUCUCCUCUUCCAUCAUAUGGGUUUUAGGGAUUAGACUAGGGUCAGCAGGCACAGUGGUCAGAGCUUUUAUUCACUGAGCUAUCUUGCCAGCUCAUAUUUGUUAUUUUUUAAUUCAUUGUUUACUUCCUAUUUUCUCCCAACAAAUAUGUGAGGCAGUUUAAGUUAAAGUUUAUGUAAAACAAGGAUAAAAGACAAAACAAUGGACAGACAAUAGGAAGAAAGAAGAGAAAACAUUGCAUGAGAAAUUGUUGACCAAGAGUAUUGAUGAUAGUUGAUCUUUCAACUUGGUCUGGAGAAUGCCAGGGUUUAACCAGGCAGGAGAAACAUAUUGCUUUUACCAUUGUGUAAAGGGAAUGGCAUGGGGGAGCUCUGCCUCUAGCAUUAAGCACUAAGAGGAAUUUAUUGCACACACAGUGGUUUGGAUCCAUGAAAGUCAUAAUAUAAAACUAUAAAUGAAAUAUACCUUCAAAUGAUGCUCAUAACAGAGGAAUUCACUCAUCGAACACGUAUCAAGUAUCUCCCACGUGUCAGGAACUGUGCUGAUGACUGGGACACAAGCUCAAAAGCUCACCAUGUAUGGAAGUACACAUGUUGUUAUUUUGGAGCAAUAAUUAUAUAACACAUUAGAGUGUCAGAAGAAAAAGAAAGUAACUAUUAAUGGGACCUUAGAGAUGGAAGGCUCCCUAACUAGUGCCCAUCCCGCCCUCAUGUGUGUAGAGGCCAGCAGUCAAUGUCAAGUGUUUCCUCUACGGAUUUCCAUCUUAUAGUUUGAGACAGGGUUUCUUACUAAUCCUGGAAUGGGUCAGUUGGCCGGAUUGUCUAGUCAUUAAGUUCCUGGGACCUUCUUGUCUCUAACUCUUACAGCUAGCACUGAGAUAUAUAUUUCCCAUCGCCUCUCUCUCUCUCUCUCUCUCUCUCUCUCUCUCUCUCUUUCUCUGUCAUCUAUCUAUUUAUAUUUGUAACAAGGUUGCUGAGAACCUGACUGAUCUACCUUUUCAGUCCCUUAAGUGUCUUAUGGUAACCCCUAAAAUAAUGGGGGCAUCAUUGCAUUAAAUUAUUGUUAUCAUAAAAAUGUCUGUCUAUAUCAGGAAACAAUAAACUCAGAAUAUGAGCAUAGGUUGUAUUUUUGGAUUCAUCUUUUCUACUUAGGAUUUUUUUUUUUAGAAAAAAAUUACAGUCAAUAAAAUAUAAAG